rnacentral:rRNA from 1 species
GUCCACGCUGUAAACGAUGAGUGCUAGUUGUCGGGCGGCAUGCCGUUCGGUGACGCAGCUAACGCAUUAAGCACUCCGCCUGGGAGUACGGUCGCAAGAUUAAACUCAAAGGAAUUGACGGGGCCCGCACAAGCGGUGGAGCAUGUGGUUUAAUUCGAAGCAACGCGCAGAACCUUACCACCUUUUGACAUGCCUCGCUAUCUAGAGAGAUCUAGAGUUCCCUUCGGGGACGAGGACACAGGUGCUGCAUGGCUGUCGU